rnacentral:lncRNA from 1 species
UCUGAUCCAACGAUCCGCAUCUCUUUGUGAUUAAUGAUAAAAUUGUUUGUAUUCCUCAUUAGCCCUAAACAACCAAUGUUUCCAUCAUCGUACCUCUCUGUAACUCCGCCGGCGGAGAACAACACUUACGCCAACGGCCACCCAAUUAACACCACCAACUCUCCUCGCUCUCCUCUUCCCAUUCCUACCCUUAGUUUCCCUCGAAUCUUCCCGUUUCUCUUCAAAUCUUCACCGAAAGAUUUUCCGGCCAUGACAUCAUUUUACCCAAACGACCCCAAAUUAUCACCAAGCCACCAUCUGGUUCUCCUCUAUAAGAAUACGUUACUGGUUUCCGUUAAACUAUAACAGAACGACUCGAAUCUCAAAUCACAAGGAGGCAGAAUUCCAGAAUUCAUGCCGUCGGGCUUAUUUUGGGAAAUUUCAUGGUCGAGUAAUGUCUAUUGUAAGUUUUUUUGAGUUUUCUGAUUUUAUUUUUAAUAGUGAAGCUUAAUUUCUUCUUUUUUUCUUAUCGUUCAAUCCGAGUGGUUUCUGGGAGUUUUGUUCAUAGUUAAAUAUGAUUUCAAGCUCGCCUAUUAGUGUAAACAUGAUUUUAGUCUUAUUAGUUAAUUUUGUCUACUUCAGUUAAUAAUAGGGUUUAGGUUCUGAUUUAUUGCUAGUUUGAUUAAUUAGUCGGAUUAGUUUUUCUAUAUCGCUCAUACAAAAUAAUCUGAAUUCAGUAGCCAUUGUGAUACCUGUUCUUUCUUUCUCUGUGAUCUUUUUGUAUUUGACGAUUCUGUGUUAGUUUAGCUAGCUUAUUCAAGUGUUGAUUCUUAUUCUUGUUUGGGUGAUGGUUUGGUAAAGUUGAAUUAGGAAAUAUUUGUAGUUUGGUUUAGUUUAUAUUGUCAGAUUUUAAUUAUUGAACUUGGUUAGUUAUAGCUGAAGUAGUGUUGGUUAAUUAGGCUCCAGUUAAAAGAUGGAGUAAUGGUGAUUUAGGAAAUUAAUUUUACGAGGUAACAAGGGUAGUUUGGCCAUUGGAAAAAGGUAGUUUCUCUAGGAAUAGUAAUUUCAAAGUAGAGAAAAGGUAGUAUAGGAAUUGUAAUGGGUAUAGGAUGUUCUAGAAUAGACAGUAGUAUAGAUUUCAGCAAAUAAGAGGAACUUACUUGAGUAACAAGUUAGAAAUAGGGGGGUUAAAAAGAAAUAAGUGAGGGACUAAUAGGGCUAACUGAAAAUUGAAGGCUACCCUCCCUUAGGCCUAUAUAUUGGCAUCAUUAGUGCCUUAACAUACAAGUUUGGGAAGCCUAAAAAUCUUCCCCAAAAGUAAUUCCCAAGCUUCCAAAUCUGAAAUUCUGAAAAUGCCUAGACCUAGUCUUCUUCAGCCAAUUUGAGCUCUCAAAAAAGCCUUCCCCGCUUUUAGAUCACGUUUAGGAUUCAUCAUACAAAAAAUCCCAAAAAAAAACAUUUGAAAAACAAAAAUCCAAAAAAAACAAAGCACAAAAUGCAGUAAAAGUCACAAUGCACUGUUCCAUUGAAUUAUUGGUUCAAUUGUGAGUUCCAAUGUUUGCUUCUACUCUCAUAGCUUGAUUGCGACAUGCUGGAGUUCUUUUCUGAAAUAUAUUGGUUUAGUUUUGGGUUAAUCUGAGUUCAGUGAAGUCUAUUGUUAUUGUUUGCUAUUUGCUGUUGAAUUUUACAAUUUUUUAGGUUAUCUCUAAGUGUAACUUCGGUUGGAAGUUGGUUUCCCUAUUGAUUGAAUCCACUUACUGCUGUUGUGGUGUUGGUUGCUGACUGACUCUCUCCUUCUCUUAUUCUGUUCACGUCCAGGAACAUAGCUUGUAACACUUUGACUUAAACCUGAGCUUGAAGAAUGAAUGAGUAAAUGCUAUUUGAAUGGCUAUUCAAGUGGGAAAUUAUUUUUGUUUAGUUCACCGUGUUCAUUAGUUUAAUUCAAUUGGGAUUUGUAUGAAUAGACAUGAGCUGCAUUAGGAUUUCUGGAAAUGGUUUGAACUGUUUUGAUUGCAUUUUGUUUGGAUUGUAAUCCUAUUACUAUGAAUCAUAUUAGACUGACAAUUGAUCUUGGAUUAAUUGAUGAAUUUGUGAUUGGCCUUCAUGAGAUGUAACUCAAAGUUUGUGAGUAUUUGAAGUUUAAAUUUAAAAUAAUACAAAUUAUAUUAUCAAAUCAGCGGUCUAAAUACUCUUGUUGGGAUUCAGUGAUUACAUAUUCUUUCAAGCCAGUUGGUUAAAAUCGCUAAGUGAAAUCUAGAGCAUGUUCUUAUUACUCCCUCAGUUGGUAAUGUAAAUUAAUUU